GUGGCGAACGGGUGAGUAAUACGUGGGCAACCUGCCUUCGAGUGGGGGAUAACCCCUUUAACGAGGGGCUAAUACCGCAUAACACGGCUUUUUCGCAUGGAAUUGUCGUCAAAGGUGGCCUCUGCUUGCAAGCUACCACUUGAAGAUGGGCCCGCGGUCCAUUAGCUUGUUGGUGAGGUAACGGCUCACCAAGGCGAUGAUGGAUAGCCGGCCUGAGAGGGUGAUCGGCCACACUGGAACUGAGACAAGGUCCAGUCCCUUACGGGGGCCAGCAGUCUAGAAAUUUGGGCAAUGGGGGAAACCCUGACCCAGCGACGCCNUGUGGAGGACGAAGCCCUUAGGGGUGUAAACUCCUGUCAGGGGGGAAGAACGUGAAGAGGCGAAUAGCCUUUUCAUCUGACGGUACCCUCAGAGGAAGCUCCGGCUGACUUCGUGCCAGCAGCCGCGGUAAUACGAAGGGAGCAAGCGUUGUUCGGAUUUACUGGGCGUAAAGGGCGUGUAGGCGGAUCGAUAAGUUGAACGUGAAAACUGCGGGCUCAACCUGCAGAUUGCGUUCAAAACUGUCGAUCUUGAGUCCAGGAGAGGAAAGCGGAAUCGACAGUGUAGCGGUGAAAUGUGUAGAUAUUGUCGAGAACACCCGGUGGCGAAGGCGGCUUUCUGGCCUGGUACUGACGCUGAGAACGCGAAAGCUAGGGGAGCGAACGGGAUUAGAUACCCCGGGUAGUCCUAGCCGUAAACGAUGGGGCACUAGGUGGUUGGGAGGU
rnacentral:rRNA from 1 species